GGUGCUCACAGCAGCGAGUGGUUCCAGAAGACGCAGAUGGGCUUGGAGCGCUCCUGGGUCUCCAGCAGCCGGAACUGCAGGGUGAUGGGCUUCUCCAGCGGCCGCGGCGCCCGCGCCGCCGCGUCGUGCACGCUGAUGCUCACCACCGGCGUGUUGAUGACGGGCCGCUUGGGCACCCUGGGGACCCGGGGGGACGUCAGGCGCCCCGUCGCCCCCCCGGUCCCCGUGUCCCCCCCCGCCGCSGCGGCCGCUACCGGAGGCUGCGCUUGUCGCUGUCGUACUGCUCGGGCAGGAGCCCCGCCAGCGUGCGGUAGAUGAUGACGCUGGCGAUGGCCUGGCCCUCGCUGAGCUCCGGGUGCCGCUUGUGCCGGGUCACCAGGGUCACCUCCUCCUCCUCCUCCUCCUCCUCAUCCUCCUCCUGGUUUUCCUCCUCCUCCUCCUGCUUCCCGUGCCCGGCGGAGGGGGCUGCGGGGCGCAGGGCAGAGCGUGAAGCAUGGCCAAGCCAGGGUCCCCAUCGCUGUCCCCGUGUCCCCAUUGCUGUCCCCCCAAAGCCAUGCCCAUGUCCUCACCACUGUGCCCCAAAGCCAUGCCAGUGUGCCCACGACUGUCCCCCUGCAGUCAUCCCAGUGUCCCCACCGCUAUCCCGCCCAAGGCUGCAUCAUUGUCCCCACCACUGUCCCCCUGUGACCAUACCAGUGUCCCCACUGCCCCCCCCACAGCUGCACCAGUGUCCCCACCGCCAUCCUCCUGCAGCCGCACCAGGGUCCCCACCACUGUCCUCCGGCAGUUGUGCCAGGGUCCCCACCACUGUCUCCCCAAGGCUGUGCCAGUGUCCCCACAACUGUCCCCUCAUGGCCGCACCACUGUCCCAAACACUGUCCCCCCCCGAAGCUGUGCCAGUGUCCCCACCACUGUCCCCUGCAGCCGCACCAGUGUCCCCAGGACUGUCCCCCCGAGGGCCACACCAGUGUCCCCACCACUGUCCCCCCAAGGCCAUGCCAGUGUCCCCACGACUGUCCCCCCACAGCCACACCAGUGUCCCCACCACUGUCCCCCCAAGGCCAUGCCAAUGUCCCCAGGACUGUCCCCUUGUGGCCACACCACUGUCCCCCCAAGGCCAUGCCCGUGUCCCCAGGACUGUCCCCCUGCAGCCACACCAGUGUCCCCACAGCUGUCCCCCCAAGGCCAUGCCAGGGUCCCCAUCACUGUCCCCCCGCAUGCACCCCGGUGUCCCCAGGGCCGUCCCCCCGGCCGUCCCCGCUCACGCCUGCCCUCGGCGGGCCGGAAGACGCUCUCGGGCAGGAUGACGGCGGUCUCCAGGUCGGGGGGCUUCUCCCCCCGCAGCGCCUCGUAGCGCGGCAGCCGGGCGCCCGCGAAGUUCGCCGUGUCCAGCCGCACCACCGACA
rnacentral:lncRNA from 1 species